UACGUAGGGGGCAAGCGUUGUCCGGAAUCAUUGGGCGUAAAGCGCGUGUAGGCGGCUCGAUAAGUCUGCUGUGAAAGUUCAGGGCUCAACCCUGAAAUGCCGGUGGAAACUGUCGGGCUAGAGUCCGGAAGAGGCGAGUGGAAAUUCCUGGUGUAGCGGUGAAAUGCGCAGAUAUCAGGAGGAACACCAAUGGCGAAGGCAGCUCGCUGGGACGGUACUGACGCUGAGACGCGAAAGCGUGGGGAGCAAACAGG
rnacentral:rRNA from 1 species